GAUUCUGUGGUGGAGCAUUUCACGCGGCGGUUUAACCUCCGUUCGCUCCUUGUUCACUUGACGAAAAGCGAAAAUUAAAUUUUGAGCGUCCUCAAUAGUUCGCGUAAAAUUCAUUGCGAAAGCCUACCUGUUUCUUGUUGGCCGAUGUACCAGGCUACCUGGCCUUGCAUUGCUUCCAGUUUUUCUUUCAUAUCAUCACCAUUUAUAAAACAGGUGAAUACGCGUUUUUUGGUUGUCAUUUUAGUAGUAAUGACGGGUGUCGUAUCUCACAAGAUGCACUGUAGGAUGGGUACACUUUGGACACACGUCAAGGAGUUUUACUUUGUUUAUCCAAUACGGUUGUAGCUGAUAUUUGUAUUUGCGCGCGUAAUUACACUUUGAACACACGAUUUUUUUGGAGUAGACGAAAUAAUUUCUCGGCGGUGUGACGUUCAUUAUUAAACUGAAAUGUUAUUGUGUGUUCCGGAUGUUUUAUUAAUAGCAUUAUCAACGGAUAUUCUUAUCUAUUUCCUGUCCCCCGCGCCUUCGGCACGUACGCCUCUCUGCCGGUGACGUUUGCGUCACUUGGUUGGCACCACUAACAACGGUUUGGUUGGCACCACGGACGACGGUUGGCACCACGGUUAGGUUGGCACCACGGUUUGGUUAAAUUGGCACCACUGACAACGAUCGGGCCCCCGAACGGCGCGCGCGACAUCUAGCAGCAACGGGACGGAACCGACGGUACAUAAUUAGCUCGGCAUUAAAGUGACCGUUCAACGACGGACGGGUUUUCACGGCAGCCCCCUCGAGAUGGCGGGGGGGCUGCCGGUGGGGUCCCCGAACGGCACGCUGGCGAACGGACAAAGACAACGUUUUGGUUGGCACCACUGACGACGGUUUGGUAAGGUUAGGGCGUAUGGUUAAUGGGCGAGUGACCUAUGGACGAACGGCCAGAACACAAAAAGAAGAAGCACAUGGGCGGGUGGCCAAUAGGUCCAGUGUGAAGGAAGAAGACCCGUGGGCGGUGGGCCCGCGGCCGGGAAGCCAAAAGUGAGGUUAUGUGGGCAUGGAUGUCCCUUUAUUCAUCUACAUGCAAGGCCAGGUAGGCAAUGGUAAUCGCGCAUAAAGUCGAGAUACAUAGAAUAGAGCUCUGGGUUUCGAGAAAGACGCUUUUCCAGCGACAACAAGCUAAGAUUCUGGGUGUUUAAAGGGUAGGGAUGCGAUAAAUCUACCACUCUUGUUCCUGCGGGUCGUAUUUGCGAAAAUAGUCUCACACCUUUCGUCCUCCGGGGAAGCGGGAUGCUUAGUCGUUUCUAAAGCAGAUGGAUGACCGGACGCACCUGGGAUGCGUCCAGCGAGUAGGAUUUGACCAGUUAAUCGCCAAUUACAAGAUCUACAACACCGGGAAUAUGGUAAUUGCGGUCAGCCAACUCCAGAUUUUUUAAAUUUUCUCUGCCAGCGUUAUUGGAUUGCAGGUCUGUCAGUACAUAGCUGUGGUACGACAAUGGCAUCGAACGAAAGUAGAGGAGUUGCUUGAUUUUGUGAUUUAAUGGUGCAUCGAGUUAAUCCUUUUGAAGUUUGACUGGUCAUGCCUUUUAGGCCGUGAAUGGGCACAGUGUAAAGCUUCAACCUGCGUAAACAUGUCGUAGUGCGACGACACCCCCAAAGCCUCACAAAAAAAAAGAAAAAGCGAAGAAACGGUUCAGCAGCAGCAGCAGCAGCAUACCGGCUUAUCCUUCUCCUCCUCCGGUUGGUUCGAUACGUUUAUCGACGACGAAGAAAGAAGGCUGGUAUGCGAAGCGUUCCAGUUGAAAAUGGUUUUAGAGUCGCAGCUGGUGCGAAACGAGGACCGGAUCAAAGAGACUGAAACUAAAAUUGCCCUGCUGCAGAGCGAGUUACAAGUGGCGCGCCUUCACUCCGACGAAUGCAGAAAAAAACUUAAACAUUUUGCAAGUUUAGCAUCCUCUCUGCCCGCAUCAAUUCCAUAGUUUUUUUUUUUUAAUUUUAAAAAUAUUAUCGAUGUUGAUGUAAAUAAAAAAAAUCUUUAGUGUUUUUUUUAUUUAGACACAC